rnacentral:rRNA from 1 species
CAGUAGCCGCGGGAAUACAGAGGGUGCGAGCGUUAAUCGGAUUUACUGGGCGUAAAGCGUGCGUAGGCGGCUUCUUAAGUCGGAUGUGAAAUCCCUGAGCUUAACUUAGGAAUUGCAUUCGAUACUGGGAAGCUAGAGUAUGGGAGAGGAUGGUAGAAUUCCAGGUGUAGCGGUGAAAUGCGUAGAGAUCUGGAGGAAUACCGAUGGCGAAGGCAGCCAUCUGGCCUAAUACUGACGCUGAGGUACGAAAGCAUGGGGAGCAAACAGGAUUAGAUACCCGGGUAGUCCCUGUCUCUUAUCC